GAUCAUAGCUCAGGACGAACGCUGGCGGCGUGCCUAAUACAUGCAAGUAGAACGCUGAAGGAGGAGCUUGCUCUUUCCGGAUGAGUUGCGAACGGGUGAGUAACGCGUAGGUAACCUGCCUGGUAGCGGGGGAUAACUAUUGGAAACGAUAGCUAAUACCGCAUAAGAGUAGAUAUCGCAUGAUAGCUGCUUGAAAGGUGCAAUUGCACCACUACCAGAUGG
rnacentral:rRNA from 1 species